CGUCACUUCAACAUGACAUAUUGUGAAAUGAAAAUAAAUUAUUUUGGAACGUUGCUUUUUAAAGUUAUUUUGUACGAGCAUUUUAUGUUUUGAAUGACCAACUCAAUUUUCAAUGGCGUGCCGUACACAACGUAUAUUGUUAUUGCUAUUAUAGUGGUUACAGUUAUAUUUUAUUUAUACAGACGUUUCAAACAUGAGAAGUGAACACAUUCAAGAUGACAAGAACGACGUCUCAGUUUGGUAUCAAAAGAAACAUGAAAGAUAACAUUUGCUGGUACGUGGUAAAUGAAAAUACGAUAAUAAUUUCGGUCCACAAACUUUAUAGAAAAUGCUGAUAUUGAAUGCUUUUUCACAAAUAAAUAU